rnacentral:rRNA from 1 species
CAAUAGCGUAUAUUAAAGUUGUUGCAGUUAAAAAGCUCGUAGUUGGAUUUCUGGUCGGAAGCUCCUGUCCUCUGAUGAGCGUACAAGUGCGUCCUACCAUCCUUCUGUUAACCUUUAAGACUUUCGCGGCUUUCUAGGGGCUCAGAUAUUUUACCUUGAGAAAAUUAGAGUGUUUCAGGCAGGCUAGCGCCGGAAUACAUUAGCAUGGAAUAAUGGAAUAGGACUUUUGCCUCUUCUGUUGGUCAUGAGGCUCGAGUAAUGAUUAAUAGGGAUAGUUGGGGGCAUUAGUACUUAACUGUCAGAGGUGAAAUUCUCGGAUUUGUUAAAGACUAACUUAUGCGAAAGCAUUUGCCAAGGAUGUUUNCAUUA